AGUGAACGCUGGCGGUAGGCCUAACACAUGCAAGUCGAACGGCAGCACGGUAAGAGCUUGCUCUUACGGGUGGCGAGUGGCGGACGGGUGAGGAAUACAUCGGAAUCUACUUUUUCGUGGGGGAUAACGUAGGGAAACUUACGCUAAUACCGCAUACGACCUACGGGUGAAAGCAGGGGAUCUUCGGACCUUGCGCGAUUGAAUGAGCCGAUGUCGGAUUAGCUAGUUGGCGGGGUAAAGGCCCACCAAGGCGACGAUCCGUAGCUGGUCUGAGAGGAUGAUCAGCCACACUGGAACUGAGACACGGUCCAGACUCCGACGGGAGGCAGCAGUGGGGAAUAUUGGACAAUGGGCGCGAGCCUGAUCCAGCCAUACCGCGUGGGUGAAGAAGGACUUCGGGUUGUAAAGCCCUUUUGUUGGGAAAGAAAAGCAGCAGGUUAAUACCCCGCUGUUCUGACGGUACCCAAAGAAUAAGCACCGGCUAACUUCGUG
rnacentral:rRNA from 1 species